rnacentral:lncRNA from 1 species
GCCACAUGUCAUCAUCAGAAUGAUAAUGGAGCUAAACUACACAGCCCAAGGCAAGUCGAACAAAUCGUCUGCCUUUAAUUGUUGUCCAUGUGAAAGUGGCCAUUGAUUCCUCUUAAUAACUACACAUAAGAUUUGUUUGCUUCUUUUGCUAUUCCCCAUGGCCCAGUAUGAAGGAAAGGUGACAGAUUUAGUAGGGAGGCAAGAUACCACAUACUAGUAGGUAUUGUUAACAAGCUUAUAACAAGUAAACGUUGUUAGGAAUGGAUAAUUGGUUGAUGGUUUAAGUUAUGAUGAUCAACUGG